AUCGUUUCUUGAGAAUAAAUAAGAAAUCUGGCCUGCAUCCCGAGAAUGGCUCAAGGAGCUGCAGUAUUAUAACUGUACAAAGGUAGCACAAUCAUUAGCCUUUUAAUUGGAGGCUGGUAUGAAAGGUUUGACAGGGAAAUAUUAAUUUAUUGAUUAAAGGCUGAAAUUUACUUUUUUGUAAAAAGGCAAAAAUAUAACUAAACGACAAGAAGACCCUUUAAGCUUGAUUCUAGUAGUUGUUUUAGAAUAAGUAGUCGGAUUUGGCUGGGGCGGCAGUAAAAAGAACAUUUAUUUUAAUAAAUACUUGUAAUUAGAUUAGUAUUUGAGCCUUGUUUAGGCUAAAAGAAAGAGCUACUGAAGGGAUAACAGCGUAAUAUAUCUUAAAAGUUCUUAUUGACGGGUGUGUUUGCGA
rnacentral:rRNA from 1 species